GAUGAACGCUGGCGGCGUGCUUAACACAUGCAAGUCGAACGGUGAACACGGAGCUUGCUCUGUGGGAUCAGUGGCGAACGGGUGAGUAACACGUGAGCAACCUGCCCCUGACUCUGGGAUAAGCGCUGGAAACGGCGUCUAAUACUGGAUAUGUGACGUGACCGCAUGGUCUGCGUUUGGAAAGAUUUUUCGGUUGGGGAUGGGCUCGCGGCCUAUCAGCUUGUUGGUGAGGUAAUGGCUCACCAAGGCGUCGACGGGUAGCCGGCCUGAGAGGGUGACCGGCCACACUGGGACUGAGACACGGCCCAGACUCCUACGGGAGGCAGCAGUGGGGAAUAUUGCACAAUGGGCGCAAGCCUGAUGCAGCAACGCCGCGUGCGGGAUGACGGCCUUCGGGUUGUAAACCUCUUUUAGCAGGGAAGAAGCGAAAGUGACGGUACCUGCAGAAAAAGCGCCGGCUAACUACGUG
rnacentral:rRNA from 1 species